GUGGAUUAGAUACCCUGGUAGUCCUGGCCGUAAACGAUGAACACUAGGUGUCGGGGGAAUCGACCCCCUCGGUGUCGUAGCCAACGCGUUAAGUGUUCCGCCUGGGGAGUACGCACGCAAGUGUGAAACUCAAAGGAAUUGACGGGGGCCCGCACAAGCGGUGGAGUAUGUGGUUUAAUUCGAUGCAACGCGAAGAACCUUACCAGGGUUUGACAUCCUGCGAAUCCCUUGGAAACGAGGGAGUGCCUUCGGGAACGCAGUGACAGGUGGUGCAUGGCUGUCGCCAGCU
rnacentral:rRNA from 1 species